AGCAGCCGCGGUAAUUCCAGCUCCAAUAGCGUAUAUUAAAGUUGUUGCAGUUAAAAAGCUCGUAGUUGAAUUUCGGGAUCAAUUUGCUGGUCGUGCCUUUGGUACGCACUGGUAUUAUUGGUUUCUCCUUUCUGAUGAAUCGCGAUGUCAUUAAUUUGGCGUCGUGGGGAAUCAGGACCGUUACUUUGAAAAAAUUAGAGUGUUUAAAGCAGGCUCACGCUUGAAUACAUUAGCAUGGAAUAAUGAAAUAGGACGUUUGAUUCUAUUUUGUUGGUUUCUAGGAUCGACGUAAUGAUUAAUAGGGAUAGUUGGGGGCAUUAGUAUUCAAUUGUCAGAGGUGAAAUUCUUGGAUUUAUUGAAGACUAACUACUGCGAAAGCAUUUGCCAAGGAUGUUUUCAUUAAUCAAGAACGAAAGUUAGGGGAUCGAAGACGAUCAGAUACCGUCGUAG
rnacentral:rRNA from 1 species